UUUCGAUCUGAAGAUAUAUUUCUUAAGAGAAACGAUGCUGGUGACCAUUUUCCCUCACUUGCAAUCUGCUUAGGCUUUGAACUGUUAAGUACCGUUAUCAGGGACUGUCGUAAAGCUUUAUCACCCUGAUUGUGUUGGAAAGGUUCCUCAAUUUGCGAAAC